GCAUAUCAAUAAGCGGAGGAAAAGAAACUAACAAGGAUUCCCCUAGUAACGGCGAGUGAAGCGGGAAGAGCACAAAUUUUAAAUCUACCUGGUUUCCAGGUCGAGUUGUAAUUUGAAGAAACGUUUUUUACGUUCCGGGUUGGAUCUAAAUCCUUUGGGAUAAGGUAUCAUGGAGGGUGAGAAUCCCGUGUAUACCAACCACUGGAAUGUUAUUAAUACGUUUUCUAAGAGUCGAGUUGUUUGGGAAUGCAGCUCUAAAUGGGUGGUAAAUUUCACCUAAUGCUAAAUAUAAGCGAGAGACCGAUAGUGAACAAGUACUGUGAGGGAAAGAUGAAAAGAACUUUGAAAAGAGAGUUAAAUAGUACGUGAAAUUGUUGAAAGGGAAACGGUUGAAGUCAGUCAUGCCGGCGGGAAUCAACUUAGGGGUAACUCUAAGUGCACUUCUUCGCUUGGUAGGUUAGCGUCGAUUUUGGAUGUCAUAAAAUGACUGGGGGAAGGUAGCUCCUUCGGGAGUGUUAAGCCCUUGGUAGAUGUGAUGUUCGGGAUCGAGGAUUGCAACAGGAUACCCUUUGGGCUAGCCACCUGGUCUCUAAUACGAAGUUAGGUUAUAGAUAGCAUGCUAACUAUGAUCUGGUUUUCGGUUAAAAGAUUAGAGUGAGUGUAAAUUCGUUAAGGACGCUGACGUAAUGGCUUUAAACGAC
rnacentral:rRNA from 1 species